rnacentral:rRNA from 1 species
UACGUAGGGUGCAAGCGUUAAUCGGAAUUACUGGGCGUAAAGCGUGCGCAGGCGGUUCGGAAAGAAAGAUGUGAAAUCCCAGAGCUCAACUUUGGAACUGCAUUUUUAACUACCGGACUAGAGUGUGUCAGAGGGGGGUGGAAUUCCGCGUGUAGCAGUGAAAUGCGUAGAGAUGCGGAGGAACACCGAUGGCGAAGGCAGCCCCCUGGGAUAACACUGACGCUCAUGUACGAAAGCGUGGGUAGCAAACAGG